rnacentral:lncRNA from 1 species
UGGACAUGCUAUUUCAAGCUUAUAAACAAAUUUUCAGUCUUAACACUGGAUUCUACACCGAUAUGCAUGGCUUUAGAGAAGUAUCUGUUUGGCUAAAAAACAAACUGGCGAGUAUAGAACUGCAUCUCGACCAUCGGAGUGCAUAGAUAAAUAGGAAGGCUAACUUCUGUCCCACUGCUUUUUUUUGCGACGAAGAUCUCAUAGUAGCGCUUUUUCAAACUAUAUGGUUUCAUCGACAUGGACAGGAUGAACCCGCAUCAGAAAAUCCUGGUGCAUCUCCUUCAUCCUCGUUCACCUCUUUGGCUCUCGCUUCACCACGGUUUCCUUCAAUUCCCUUGAGCUCAUCUCCCACCUACAUGCUAAGAGUCACCACCACGAUGUGGGCUUCUAGGAUCUCCUUCCUAGUAGUCGCCACCAGGAUGUAGCGUCAGGAUUCAAGUGCAUGGAUCCCUAACUCCGGCAAAGGAACAUUUGUAUAAAAGUUUGAAUCACCAUUUUUGUCAAGGGAUGUAAUAUAGUUUUGUAUUGCUAUUAUUUUUGCUAGACACAACCUCAGCCUAAGGUUCACAAAGGGAUAGAAAUAGAAAUAUGUUCUCUCCAAAGGACAAUAUAUGGAUCUCACAAUUUCAAUAUAUGUUCCAACAUCUUCUGCGCGCAAGAAUUCUCCGCAUCCUUUACCCCUGACAUCUUAUCACUUAAAGUUACCCAAAUACCACCAUGGCUUUCUACCUGAACAGAGUAAACAAAUGUCCUAUCAUGUGCCGGGCCAUCUUCCUUCUCUGACCUGAAAAAAAAACGAAGCAAAUGUGUAGGGUUGAUCUAGGCAAAAUGUCAAGUUAGAUAAUGCAACAAGUGGUAAGCAUUCAAAGGCGCUAAGCUUUCACUCGGCCCCUCCCACACACCUUGUCAAGGGUAUUCGAGCCACUAGACCCAUCAUGACAAAGGACCCACCACAACAAACCAAGGACUUGCUCCAGCUAAAGAUCAGGGCUUGCCACCCACGGCAACAGCUACAUAGGACCACCCGCUUCUACUCCCCUCACAGCCACGCCGACAAAGAUAGCACCCAACACCACCGUUGAAGAGUCGACCGCAUAGCCCACCAUCCAAGGCCACCGCAUAGCCCACCAUCCAAGGCCACCGCUCGGGCAUCCAAACUCCACCGUACAGAACCACUGGUGUGACAGCAGCUGCAACUGAGCCCAGAUCUUCGUGAACAUGCAAGAAACCGCCACGCCAGAUGCACCAUAUGGGCCACAAGACGAGGCCGCAGACCGACUCUCUCGGUCAAAUUUAGCGAAGGGCGGCAACUCUAUGCGUGGGCAAGCACCUUCCAGCCAAAGCACCGACGGACCAAGGUCAGAGGUCAUGACUGCAUCGCCCCCACGCGCCGACGAUGGGGGAGAACAGCUCCACUGCAGAGGCCAACAAACGACGCCAUGGACUGGCCUUCUUGGACAGAUCUAGCGAUGCACAUCACCUUCAUGCCUCGGUGGGCAUCUCCCAUCCCAAGGCAAUGACGGGCCGAGGCGGCGGCCAAGAACGUGUAGCCCGUGCGCGCAACACCAGGGGAGUUGCACGCCACCAUGCCCGAGUGGAACCCAAUGGCUCUCGGAACCACGUUGUUGACAACGCCAUGCGCGGAGGUACGAAGAGGAGCAAGGGUAGAGGGAGGGAGGAGCGCCCCGCCGCCGUCAUGGGCCGGCCGAUGGCCGGUGAUGGCGGUGCAGGAGGACACGAAGAGAGUGGUGGUGGAGAUGGGAAAACCUAACCCGCAACCCACCGAGGAGGGCGAUGCGAGGUCCUCACAAGGGGGGGNNNNNNNNNNNNNNNNNNNNNNNNNNNNNNNNNNNNNNNNNNNNNNNNNNNNNNNNNNNNNNNNNNNNNNNNNNNNNNNNNNNNNNNNNNNNNNNNNNNNNNNNNNNNNNNNNNNNNNNNNNNNNNNNNNNNNNNNNNNNNNNNNNNNNNNNNNNNNNNNACUACUAUUGAGCAAGAACCAUGAAGGAUCAGGCUGCCAGCAAAUAUGGAAGUUAGGAUUUCCUUGAUUUGUUACAUAUAUUGAUCUCUACACGAAUACGGGAAGGUCAAGACUGAAGGUGAGGAAGGAUGGUGAUGGGUGCAUGGAAAGGAAGAUGUGUGAGUGGGUGGUUUCUAUGUGUGGGCGGGGAGGCAGCAUGAAGCAGGCUAGGCGCGCAAGCGAGAUAGGAGAUGAACGCUACAGGAAGUGAGGAAGGGGAAAUGCAGGCAUGGGCUUCUAGGAAGGAACACGAAAACGCUGGAGGUUGUGGGUCGAUGGCCGAAGGAACAUCGGCGGGCAUGGGAGAGAAUGGGAUAAAGGAAAGAUAUAUGCCCAUCAAAUUUUCUAAUUUUCUGAUUGGUUAAGAUAGUAGAUCACUGCAAGGUGGCUCAAUGCAUACAUACAAUAAUCAUGUCAAGUAGUUGCCUGGGGGCAGCCCUGGGGCCGGCGGCUAGGGACCAACUCGCUCCCACGCUUAAUUUUUGCGUCGGCUCACCCCCAGGCGGCGAUUUUUAGGCGCGCCCUGGGGGGCCAACGGCUGGAGAUGCUCUGAGCUUCUAUCCUUAGUAGGAUCAAGUAGUUUUCUGUUCCACCUUCGAUAUUAUACCGAUACCCAGAACCUAGUGACAUUUUCUCCAUCUGCCAGUCGCCGGAACUCUCGCCUUUGUUUUGCCAAAUGGAAUAACAGAGAUAAGAUUCACCACUUGCAUUUUCAUAACCUGUACGGAACAUCCCAAGCCUGCCUUCCCCUGCAUCCACAAUAGCUAUAUCUUGUUGGCUCCAUUCUCCAGGUGGGAGGUCAGCAAUGGAGCCUUAUUCAUCGGCAAGACCCAGUAGACGCAGCCGCCCACCAAAUGGCGCCUGAUAAAAUACAAAGGCGCCCCGUCCAUGCAGGCCUGGGAUGCAGCGGCUUGCCAUUGCCCAGUGCUCGAAGAGAAGACAAACACGACUAUAUUGGUUUUGCAACAUGCCGACCAGAUCACUCUGAACGUUGUCUCUUUCACCAGGGCAGCCUCCUCAUCGCUGAGUGGAAUGAGGCUAGGCUUGCAAGACCACCCUAAAAAUUCGUCGUCUUGGCUCUCCAUCGACGCCACCAGAUCUUUAGGCACUGGGGGAAGCAGGAUGUACCGCCGGUGCAAGGGAUCGCACACCACAAGCUCCGGGAAUAUCGACAUCGGGGGCCCCUCGGCCAUCAUGUUUUGCUUGCCGAAGAGGAGGACCCGGCCAUCGCAGAUGUCCUGGACGGCCCAUGGGCAGCGCGAAGGCAGGAACGAAAAGGAGAAGUCAGCGGCUAGCGCGAGCGCACGGACGGCUAGGGCGAGCGAGCGGGCGGCGGGCACAGACGGGUGAGGUGGCUGAGCGGGGUGGAAGCCGCCGAGGUUGAGAUAGCCGAGGACUGGUGGUGGGUGGAGGCGGCGAAAAAGGCGGAGGAACAAGCCGUCGGUGACGAGGCGGCGAAAGGUAACGCAGGCGGCAGAGGUGCGGGGCGAGGUCUUGUGCGGCGGGCAGCUUGAGGAAUAUCCGUGUUAGAAAUUUAGGGUUUGUGGUCUACCCCCUAAUUCCUCUGCGUUUAUCCGUGGUGCCACUCACAAUUCGCAUAUCUGAGGCUAGGGGGUAGGGACCUUCUUAUACUGUCGUUCCAAAGAGUCCACCUCUUAUACAGAUAUAAGAUUCCUAGUCUUUUCCACUAGUUUCCGGGAUAGAGUCUAGAUCAAAUUACCAACCACGGUCAUAUUUGUCUGUUUAACGGAUUCUACCCGUUUUGUCCCCGGAGCACACGCUUGUGAGCAACGCGUCAUAAUAGAGUGUAAAUUCCUCUAAUUAUGUAGAUCAACAUUAGGGCUGUAAUCUAAUUAUACGAUCUAGCUCCUUCCAAUCAUCAGUGUACCUGGAUAGUCUUUUCAAUAUAAAUAGUAUAUUGUAUUCCACCAAUAAUCGACCAGCUUCCUUAAGUAUAUAUAAAAACUUAAGUAUGUUCUAGCAAGUAACAAUUCCAUGCUAAACAUGUAAAACAAUUACAUGUACAAAUACAUGUAUAAUUCCAUAAUGAGGUAUUCCGAAUAUUUAACAAUUCCAAGUUAAUUGAAUAUAGUUGCAGGACACAUAAUUCCAACAUCUCCCACUUGUCCAAAACGAUCAUUCAAAUAUUCGUUAAACCCAUAGCCUUAACAUGCUUGCCAAAUACCUCCUGACUAAGAGGCUUAGUCAAGGGAUCAACAAUCAUAUUAACUCUACGUUGAAAACCCACAAAUAUAUAUAUGGUGAUACUUCCCUUCAAUAUGUUUCCUUGUUGUGACACUUAAGAUCACUAGAGACCUUUAGUUUCCGCCUAAUUAUUCCAGCAUAGCUGUCCUCGGUGCCUCGAGUAUUAUUUUGUCGAGUGUAAUUCCACCUUUGUAGGCACCUUGAGUAUUUUGUUUCCUCAAGUGAAAUUCCACAUCAAUUAUUUUCCAUCACAUAUAUAAUAAUAUGAUUAAUUCCACAUCGAGUCAAGUAUAAGAUAACCAUGUUGAAUAAAUUUUCAAAACCACAUAAAUAUCAAAUCCAAUCAGUAAAUGAAGUUCCAUCAGUAACCAUGUUUUGAAAGAAAUUCCUGACUCCGGUCAGUGAACCUGCACCAUAUUAGUACUACAAAAAAAUGAAUAUGCGUACCUGGACUUAUUUCUCAUCUUGCAGAUAGAGUAAUAGCUUCCUCAAUGUGUUUAAUAGAAAUUUCAGAACAAGUGACAGGUUGUGAUGCACUUUUUACAAUCUUAUAUGAUGUGUGAGAUUCCCUUAGUUGCUCGUCUUUCAUUCCACUGCUUGAAUGCAGCAUAAAUUCUGGUAGGUAAGGUAUGAUAAUACAUAUGAAUUCCAGUACCAUUUAUUAUUCUAUUUUCCUCAGGAGUUCAAAUAUAAUUCCUCACUGAGUAUGAUUCCCUUUAUCAAAGGUAUUUUAAUAGAUUUACAAUUUUCUAUAGAGAAACACUUCAAAAUAUUUUCUAUGUAUUUCCACUCGUAAAACAUAGGAUGUUUCAAAUGUUCCUUUCAUAUGAAAGUUAAAAGAUGACCAAGCUUUCACUUCCAUCAAUGUGACUUUAUCAUUGCAAACAACAAAACAAUGUUAAUGCAUACAAUAAUAAUGCAAAAUACUUUACACUUACAUUUGUAGAUGACUGCCUUGCUUCAUUUAGAAAACCAUAUGACCUGCUAUUCCAUCAAUGUGAAGCUUGUUAUAAGACCAUACAUUAAUUUAUUCAAUUAACAAACCAUGUCUUUAGUUCCUCUUUCCCAAAAUUUCAGGAGAGAGAGUUUCCACAAAGUAUAUUUCCCUCUGUGUGAAUAAUUGAAUAACAAGAGUGACAUCAUAGUAUUCCAGUGUGCCUAAAUAUCCUUAAAAAAUCACUUCCAGACAAUAGGCUUGCAGUUAUUUGGUAUGAUAUUAAGUUCCCAAACUAUAUAAUUCCUCAUUGAGUUUAUUCCUUCCCGCAUUUCUUCCACCCAUAGUUGACAAUGAUGAAAAUAUUUUAGCCUUCUUAGGAGUCUUCCUCUACUAUUUAGACUGACUUCCACCAAAAAACACAUAACAAUUAUCCAGAGAUUACAUUCCAAGUUAAUUCCCCCCACUUAUCCUAAGCAUGUCAUGUUGGGAGUGUCACUUGUAGUUUCCUUGGGGUUAAGAAUAUUUCAGUAUGAUUGUCAAUAAUUCCACCCUUGAUCAUAAAAAUGAUUGUGUUCCUACUUUCCACCAGUAUUCCUUUUCCAGAUAACUAAGGAAACACCCUUUGAUCCACUAGAAGAACCAUGAAAAAUUCCUGGUGUGUGCUUUGUAAUAACUGAGAAUUUCAUGCCAAAAUAGAAGAUUUCCUUCCAGUCAAGUGACUGUACUAGAUGGGCAAUGAUAUCAACAAAUGACAGUAUGUAAUGCUUCUUUCCAAAGAAAUAAGGGAGUAUACAAGAUAGUCAAUUCCUCCAUUCAAUUGUGGAGUGUACGGUAUAUUACAAUGGUGAAUAGUUCCAUGCUCUUUACAUACAAAUGAUAUAUUCCUGAAGUGUGUACUUCCCCCACCAAUCGGUUAUUAAAACUAUGAAAUUAUUUAAUCAACUGUUUUUCCACUUCAGUAUAACAUGUGACAAGCACAAUAAAUCAUUCCGACUUGUAUUUUGAAAUAGUAUAAACAUAAACAUAUCAAGUGCAAUCAUCAAUGAAUGAGAUAAAAUAAAUAACCUGACCUCUAGUGGGGAUAUCCAAAGAAAUGCCAUAAGUAUAUCAAAUAGAAACAAUGUGAAGCCUUUUAUCUCCUUCCACCUUAAUAAAAAGAGGGUGUAUAAAAAAAUCAUCAAUGCUUCACAUGUACCAUAGUCCUCCCACUAAAGUUUAAAAUUCCAGAAUCAAUAAGCCGCAUGAUCUAGUUCCAAGAUAUGUGACCAAGUCGUUGAUGAUGUAGAUAAUAAAUUCCAAGCAUGUGUUCCCGUUAUCAGCAUUCCUCUCCGCGAGUUAUCUUCCCCAAAUAACAAUUUGGGUUGCUAACUUCCAAUGGACCAUCAAGAAAGAAUAAACCAUUGUGUGAAAUGUUGUAAUGCACUAAUUUUAUCACUGAGCAGUAUUUCCACUCUUCCUUUUCCAAAUAGUAUUUCAUAAUCAUUGGGUUUCAAGAUAGAACAAUAAAUUAAAUCCCUUCACAUUAAAGUUUCACAGAUUGUCCUAUAACAAUAAUACUUUUCCUCCACCAGGGAGUUUCAUGGCAAAAUUUCCAAUUCCAAAGUGUAUAAGAUUUAACAGCAAUGUUAAAAUACACAAUAUAUAUGAUUUCCUUUGGUAUUGUUACCAUGUCAAUAAAAAUGUUACUUAAAUGGGAGAGAAAAUAAUCCUUUUCCAUGGAGUGGUUCCCAUCUUCCUCCACAAAGAAAUUAAGCUCAUAAUAGACACUUCUUUGAAUUCCUUCUCACGCAAGGUUAGUACAAUAGCGUAUCUAUCAAUAAUAAUUUUCCUCCACAAUGGAGUUUGAUGGCAUAAUUUCCAAUUCCCAGUAUUUCAAAAAUAGCAUUACUGCUGAAAUAGACAUCAUCUACCUUCCUUGGGAAUUGUUUAGAUAUAAAUAAAGUUGCUACUGUGUUCCACCUAUUGGAAAAAGUAGUGAUAGAUAUAAACAUAUAAAGUGUAAACAUUGCCAAUGGACAUACCGUCAAGCGAGAGCAAAUUUCCUUUUCUUUGGAGUGAUAUCUUUCUUCCUCCGCAACAAGUGAUAUAAUCAAUAUAAAUAUCUUUCCUAGAUAUGCAAAAUUUCCAUGCUAUCUUUUCACCGGAGUAAUUGCUAUUCCAUCCAGUCAUGCAUGAUCCAGGGUCCUUCGGAUUAUUAUUAUUUGUAGGGACUAGCAUUCUUCCAACGAGUAAAUUCCAUCUCCUCGUUACGAGUUACAUGCAAUGGACCAGAGAAAAAAAAUUUAAUCAAUGAUCAAAUAAAAUGAAUAAAAGUAGUUAGUAUAUGCAAUUUUGAAAGCAUGUGUGCGUCUGGUGCAUGUAAUCCUUCCGGCGGGCUAGCCGUUGUUCGCACAAGUUCGUUCCUCGUUCGUGUUAUUUGCCUUCCUUAAUCCACAAAGUCUGGUGUGUGUAGUCCUUUCGGCAGGCUGGCCGUUAUUUGCACAAGGACUUGAACAUGCACAAAACAUUCGCCUUCCUCUAUCCACGUACAUGAACAGAACAGGAACAACUAGUAUAUCUUGUCUCCCGUGCAAGCAUUGAGGCCUUGGUGCAACUCUGGAUUUCACUGAUCCGAUGGAUUGCUUGGGUGGUUUGGAGUUUGGACUACCACUUUCCUAGCUAGAUUCCUUGAUUCCCGUGCCUGCGGCUUGGACUGCGCUUUAAUCACGUCCAGCGUACAUGAAUUAGCCCAUGUGCCCAACACGAGACUACGUAGCACAGAUCCGCGUGAGAGAGUUCCGGCGCAGCGACGGGAUGUGGAACCGAGCGACGACUUGGCAACGCGGGUCCGGUGAUGUAGCGGACGACGACGACGACCGGCGCCAGCGCGGACUGCGAGCGGACGACGACGACGACGACCGGCACCAGCGCGGACUUCCAGCUACUCGCAGAGGUGCCGCAGAUCGGGCCUCGGCCGGAGUCGGCGACUUGGGGCGGUGGCUGAUGGCGGAUUAGCAAGGUUAUCUUUACGAAGAGGAGAACAAAUCGAUCCCCAAGCUGAUCAUGGUUUGCAAAUCCGUAGAAUACGCAGCGGAGUUGACUACGGAUCGAAUCGAGUCGUCGAUGAGUACGUCAUUGACCCUUAUUCGGCUCGGAUGCCAAUGUUAAAAAUUGAGACUUUUUACGGUGCAUCGUACUACUCAACAUAUUGGGUAGUAUUUAGUUGAUCCAACGGCCAAUAUGGAUUGAUCAAAUUUUCGUUCAAGGAUAUAUUGGUAAUUCCCAACCAGACGUAGAUCUGUUCUUUCCUAAUUUAGUCCGAAUUAUUAAUCUAACUAAUUAAGUUAAUCUCAUCUCAUCCGACGCAGCACCGUUCCUCUGCUACUCGCGACACCACGCCGCCGUAAAAUCUCAAUGCAUGCAUGCGCCGGCGUGAGGACCUCCGCUAGCUAUACCUACGCCUCUGCAGCCACUACAUAAACAUAGAAUAACUAUUUGGUGUGGGGUGCGGCACGCUAGCCACUAUGAUUUUCAUUUGAUGAGCAGCAACGGCAAAGUGGCAGACAGUGCGAUGGCGAGCGAGGCGGCGCGGGCGUGCGACGGCCGCUUGCGGCGGUGGGCGACUCCCUGAGCAUCCUCGCGUGCGUACGUGCAUUACGAGAGCAAACAGUGAUCUGAUUGUUGGGUACGUGCGUGACGUGAUUGUGUAAUCUGGCCGGCGGCGAGUCUACCGGUGAUGUUAGCUUUUCUACGUCGCUGUGUCCUGUGUACGUGGGUUACAUGCCAGCUUGGCAGCUUGGGGCACGAAGCUAGGCCAUCAGCUUCGCUCCGUCGUCGCCCGAAGCAUAUCGCAGAAAAAUACAUGGCGGCGUGGACGGGCCAAGAGAUGAUGGGAGGAAAGGUUGGUCAUGGCGGGGAAGAAACCUGCCUGCGUGAUUGAUAUAGUUCCAAAAAUGCCCCCAACGAGUAAAUAUACUACCGAAAAACUGGUGUAGUAUAGGCUAAUCUGGGCCCUAGAAGACAAAGAAAUGAAGGGCCCAGGUUGAUUUGAUGUACCGUAAAAUGUCUCUAAAAAUUUAGGGUUUGUGAUCUACCCCCUAAUUUCUCUGCGCUUAUCCGUGGUGCCGCUCACAAUUCGCAUAUCUGAGGCUAAGGGGUAGGAACCUUCUUAUACCGUCGUUCCAAAGAGUCCACCUCUUAUACAGAUAUAAGAUUCCUAGUCUUUUCCACUAGUUUUCGGGAUAGAGUCUAGAUCAAAUUACCAACCACGAUCAUAUUUGUCUGUUUAACGGAUUCUACCCGUUUUGUUCCCGGAGCACGCGCUUGUGAGCAACGCGUCAUAAUAGAGUGUAAAUUCCUCUAAUUAUGUAGAUCAACAUUAGGGCUGUAAUCUAAUUAUACGAUCUAGCUCCUUCCAAUCAUCAGUGUACCCGGAUAGUCUUUCCAAUAUAAAUAGUAUAUUAUAUUCCACCGAUAAUCGACCAGCUUCCUUAAGUAUAUAUAAAAACUUAAGUAUGUUCCAGCAAGUAACAAUUCCAUAUUAAACAUGUAAAACAAUUCCAUGUACAAAUACAUGUAUAAUUCCAUAAUAAGGUAUUCCGAAUAUUUAACAAUUCCAAGUUAAUUGAAUAUAGUUGCAGGACACAUAAUUCCAACAAUCCGCUCCAAGAGGUGGGCGGGGAACUCCAGCAAACUCGAUUCGAUUUUCUUGCUGCUCUCCAUUGGAAAAAGAAAAGAGGAGGCCGGCGGCGGAAACCCUCAAUCUGAUGUGAUGGAUGGAUGGGAAUGUUGUUAUGUGGAGGUGAGAGAUCUUUUGUGCUGCCACAACGGGCCUUGAAAGGUAAGAAUAUGUAACGGGCCAUCUUUCGGCCCAUACGGGCUGUCCGUUGUGCUAUUUUUUCUAAAGAAAAAACUACUACAGCGCCAGUUUGAAAACUGUAUUUUCCGUGCGUACAAAAAUACUUUUUACGUGAUAUAUUUACGAAAUUAAUUUCAUAGGGUCAUAGGUGAAAACUGUAUUUUCCUUGCUAACCAAGUUUCUUUUUUAUGUCAUAUUUAUGCAAUGAAGUUCAGUGUUAUACACUUAUACUCAGAAUGGGCACGCUAUCUCAAGUUCCCAAACAAUGGUUUUCAAAUUAUUAUUUUUGCGAGGAAAUGGUUUUCCAAUUUAACCUGGAAUUCUAUGAAGAUCGAUACGUAUUAGUUCAGAAAAGUAUACGCUUGUAACAUACUACCUCUGUAAACUUUAUAAGACAGUAGUACUUUAGUGAUCUAAAACAUCUUACAAAUGUUUGCAAAGGGAGUAUUUGAUUUGAUGUAGAACAUACUGCUACAAUUAUUGUGCACUUGUCUUGCACGCCAACUAUAUCCGAUAUAAGAAAACUUGUAGACACGGAUAUAUAAUUAUGUACUAAGAUUUUUCACUCAUGUAUUUGGAUCAACCACACCUCAAGAGACUAUAAUUUCAGUACAAUAAAAGUACCAUAAUGGAUUCAUAAUGACAUGGGAAUGUCACACACGAUAUAUAGAAAUGGUAUCCAUCCGUCCAUCAACAAACAUGCCGUCACAGCGACAAAGAUUCUUAAUAUGUAGCAAAUGCUCAUCACAACUGUCAAAUUUCAGCAGCAUCUUCAUCAACAUGUACCUUUCUUUCCCUGUCUCCUUUGCGCAUAUCUGUAGCUAGCUGCUAAUUAGGAGCCAUCAUCUCAAGAAGAAGAAGAAAAUAAUUAGGGGCCAUCUCACUGUCUCAGCAAAAUAGCUUCUUAAUCUCAGGCAUGCGCCACCCUAAUCUUGCAAAUGCUCAUCACAACUGUUACAUUUCAGUGCCACCUUCUUCAUCUUGGAGUUCCAAGGAUGAGGCUUCUUAAUCCAUCGAUCGACUCUCCGCAAGCAAGACAGGUAAUAAUCAGAUGAUACAGAAGAACUUUCAGCUCAGGUUGGAUUCAAUACUACUUCACAAGCAAAAUGGAACAAACUAGUCACAUGCCCACGCUUUGCUUCGCUGUGGGAUUCAAUAGAUACUCAUCUUGAUUGAAGGUUUUAUGAAUUAAUUCCCACAAGUGUGCAUCAGGUAUAUUUUUUCUACCUGGAUGGCACGCCGCUUAGUUUUAGCAGUACAACCAAAAAUAUCUCUCCUAAAGGUAGCCUUACAACACUAAUUACCUGGACGCUGCAUUUCAUAACGGGGUGUGAAUGGUAUAUAUUGGUGAUACCCACAUUAAAAACUGGGUCUGCUAUCAGGGCCAUGUGCAGCAACUUAAACUGUGGUAAAUGUGUCAAAAAUAGUUUGGUGCUUAAUAAGCAAAGACUACUUCAAUAUGAAGAUUGGUAAUUACUUUUCAGGCUCUGACGUUUGUGUGGAAAGAUGUGAUGAAUAAUGAUAUCUUUAUAAAUGAGUCAUCAAGACAGUUUUAUUAUACUUCAAUUAUUGUUGUUGCAGAUCUGUGGAGAUGUAAGUACAUCAAUGGAUGAACUUGAUAGUGUGAAUCAACUGAACUGAAAUAAUUUGCCGCUCGACUUAAAAUAGCAAACCUGCAAACAAAAACAUAUAUUUUUCCCAACUCCUUGUUUCUGCCAUCAGCAUUCGAUUCGACAUUGCUGGCCAAAAUUUGCUCCCCAAGCUUGGAGAAUUUGCUUCAUAUAGUGUCCGGUUCCCAAUGCAGCCAGAUGAAGUAGUAUCGGCUCCAACAGGGAGAGCAUGGGCAGCAAGAAUCUAAUCAGUCAGCGAGCACAGGCAGCGAGAAGCUUUGGCGGCCCAUAUAGCAAGCAACAGAGGAUGGUCAGGAGCAAACGCCAGUGCGAGUUUGGUGGCGAGCAUGAAAUAGUUUCAGGUAGCAAGAAGCUUUGGUGGCCCAGAGUUAGCAUGGGAAGCAGCGGUAGAGGAUGAUCAGGAGCAAACACCGGGGGCGAGCGUGGUGGCGAGCAUGGAAGUAAUUUCGGACUUCAUGGAAUUAAAGACGAGCAGCAAGCUCCCGGGUAAUCCUAAUUUGUGAAGCAAUGUUUCUUUUGUUAGCAAUGAAAUAUCCGUGUAUUGGACCGGGCCUUCGGAAGGAAAGGCUGGGAUGUACAACGGCACAACUAUGCCUUUUCAAUUGCCUCUUCCAAAAGUAAAAUGGAUGUAGACUUAUAUUCCUUUUCAAUCGCCUAGAGACCAUAAAAACCAGUCCUCGAAAAUAAUUGCUGCGAUCUACCAUUUUUGUGCAUCUAUUGGGCCUAAAAUUACAAGUGAUGCAUAAUGUCACGGUUAUUUUGUCAUGUCAGAUUUCGUAAAAGUGGUUGGAACAAAAAAGAUAAUGAAUCGCAAUUAUAUCCCUGAGCUUGAUUAGCUGUCACAAGGAAGAAAAUAGCCACUACCCAAUCGCGUAAACAAGAAUGACGAAUUGUGAUAAUGAGUUAUCACAAUUCAAAAUUUUGUGCGAAAACUAUUAAGGAAAGCAGAUAAAUGAGAUAGAAAGUUUACCACUUCAUAUUGUUGGCGAUAACUACGAUGGUGGGAAGCUGGUAUACAAGUGUCCUUGACGUGCCAGACCGGACAGGUUUACCUGAGGCUCAUUUAUGCUCUAUCAUUUGUGCAUGGUGUUUUAACCAUCUCAGUGAAAAAUCACUAUUUCUGCAAAAUUUCAGACAUUUAUUAUUAUAUUCCACAGUUUGAGAGGUUAUUAGUGCAAAUAUAUACAUGAAUUACAUUCUUAAAGACUUCUUUGCCUUCAAGUAAUACAUCAGUAAUCAGGCUUUCCAAAUAGACCUGAUCAUGAAGGAAGAAGAAUAGAAGGACAAGACAUCAAAUCAGAAAAGAAAAAAAGUUAAAUGAGCUCGGUUAUAAAAUAUCCUCAAGAAAAUUCAUUGAUGCUCGCCAUAUAAAAUGCUAGGGAUCAUACCAACAAUGAAAUAAAAUCAUGAGAAAAUAAAUAUUAUGGACAGAAGAAAACAAUAUUUAUGGGGAUACCUAAGCCGUUAACAUAAUUGUAUUUGUAUACAGCGUAAGCAUGGACAGAAGGUUGUAUACAGGGUAAGCAUGGACAGAAGGGAAGUCAUCAUAAGUAAAAAUUAUGCAUGUGUGUCGAUAUAGCAAUCAUUCACUCAAAAAUUAAAUUUAUGCAUUGAGGACAUACUUUUGGAACGCCAGAUAAACCUAAAUUCCCACUAAUUUAUCAAUAGGAGUAGCCUCCACCAAGAUUUUAAAGUCAUGCAAAAGCAGAAAGCUCAAAGAUAAGCUUGGGCCACAGCAAAAGCUUAACAUCUAAAACGCAUCAGGUUAAUCAGCACACAGCAUGAGCUAAUUAGCACGUACGUAGCAGCUUCUCAACCUCUCGGAUGCUCAAAACUUUAACCCGAACCAAAUACAUGAGCUUCCAGAGCCUGCUCCCCCUCCACUAUUCUGCAAUAGGGACCAAAAACAAAUCUAUAGCAAAGUAGGGAACACAAAACUGAUUAGGAAGAUAAAAGAUGCCUUUUCAAGAGAAGCAGUAUUUCUUAUUUCCAAAAUUGACCGCCAUAUUAGGUUGCCGCCAUAAAAAAAAUAGGUGAUCAACUUUCUCCUUUGUAGUACAAAAACAACACCAUGUAUGCACAACUUGUGUAUACAGAUACCACAUAACCAACUCACACCAAUAUAAAUUUCCAGGAAUAUCUCAUGUGGCCAUUCCGUAAAAUAGAACUAAAUAAAUACAUAAAGUAAACAGUAAACACCCCCUUUAGCUAAGCAUAGCUUAUGCCAAGAAUCAUUCAAGUUGACCAGACACACUUGACUAUGACUGAAUCCAAGACUUUAAAUUCUAAUUAUGUACUUCUAAUGAGAAGUCCAAGAAAUCUGCUUCGACAAUACCAAGCACAGACAAAUUCAUUAUAAUCUGAAAUUAUACUAAAUAAUGACAAGCACACAGAUUCGUCUCCCAUCCAGGGGUCAACAAAAUAUAUAAUCUAAGCAAUCAUGCGCUGUAAAAACAUCGAUGGUAAAACAAGGAAGGAUAAGAUCUGGCAGUACACUUGAAGUAAUUACCUGUCCAGAGACCAUCCGAAAUUAUCAGUUGAAGAAUUUCCGAAGUAAGAAAAUGGGAGUACCAGCCUCCAAGAUCUCCCAAAUAAAUUGACCACAACCAGUAUGAACAUCACCUGCACAAAAUUUGGGAUUGAGAGGAUAUCAGGAUAAUGUAAUUGUUUGGUGUAAGAAGGAAUUGUACAUGAACGGGGAAAAAUAUAUAGGGGAACCUAGCCAAGCACCAUGCUGAUGGAUGUUGUGUUGCCGGAGUGGAAAGAUUUAGUGAAAAGUGGUAGGGGCAUAAAUACACGUACAUGUACCGAGGCAGUGGAAGGAUGGCCACAUCAUCUGCCAUGAAUGCCCGUAGAGAAAUUGAAGAAUGAUUGCUUCUUCAAAUCCCAGCAGAGCAGUUGUGCUCAGCCGAACAGCCAUGGUGUCGGCCUACAUCUCCCUCUCCCUCUCCCUCUCCCUCUCCCAAUCCCUAUCCUACUUUACCAUAGGGCUUCAAAUUGCGAAAGCCGGAGUAGACAACAGACUAACGGUCAAGGACUCAAGGUUGCCCAAGUCACAAAAAAUGGAUGGCCAGAAACGCGCAAGGCAUUACAUGGUUGGAAAGCUGCUCAGUUUUACUGUCCUAAAGUGUGGCUAUGUUUCCAUAUAUCAAAAACAUAGCUCGUCACGACAUAGUUCAUUGACCACGAACCAAGGCCUAGAUUUUGCUUGUUAUUGUGUGAAUCACUGAAUCGAAAAUGACCUGAGUGGGUUGUGAUAACUCGGGUUGCCAAUUUCGCUGUUUGUUAACAGAAGAAAAUCCCGUCAUCUAACAUUUUCCUGGAGUGUUUAUAAAGCAACUGUUGAAAAACCACCGUUCAACAACCACAAACCAGAGAAUUUCUUAAACAGACGAGAUAAGCAAAUCUAUACCAAUGUAAAAAAACAUUUGUUCGGAUGAGGUUCUUUCGAUCUAAGCUCUCCAAAAAAUAUAUUUAAUUUUUAUAGCUAUCAGUCCCAUGGUUGUGGCAAAUAUUAUACCAUCUCCUAAUCAUAGUAUAUGUAUAGUUUGUUAGUUCAACUUAUUUAUUCAUAGUUACUUUCUGUUUUUAUUUUAUGUACGUGGAAAUUUAUGUCUCAUCCUUACAAUUUUCUACGUGAUAUUUAUGUAAAAGAAGCCCGUGUCGUUACUAUCGAGAUGGACAUGCUAUUUCAAGUUUAUAAACAAAUUUUCAGUUCACACUGAAUUCUACGCCGAUGUGCAUGGCUUUAAAAAGUAUGGUGAAUUAACCAUGAGUAUACAUCUGCAUCUCGACCAUCGGAGUGAAUAGAUAAAUAGGAAAGCUAACUUCUGUCCCACUGCUUUUUUUGCGACAAAAAUCUCAUGGUAGCGCUUUUUCAAACUAUAUGAUUUCAUCGGCAUGGGCAGGAUGAACCCGCAUCAAAAAAUCCCGGUGCAUCUUCUUCAUCCUCAUUCACCUCUUUGGCUCUCCCUUCAUCACUGUUUCCUUAUAUUCUCUUGAGCUCAUCUCCCACCUACAAGCUAAUAGUCACCACCACAAUGCGGGCUUCUAGGAUCUCCUUCCUAGUAGUCGCCACCAGGAUGUAGCAUCAGUAUUCAAGUGCAUGGAUCCCUAACUCCGGCAAAGGAACAUUCAUAUAAAAAUUUGAAUCAUCAUUUUUGUCAAGGGAUGUAAUAUAUUUUGUAUUCUUUUUAUUUUUGCUAGACACAACCUCAGCCUAAGGUUCACAAAGGGAUAGAAAUAGAAAUAUGUUCUUUGCAAAGGACAAUAUAGGGAUCUCACAAUUUCAAUAGAUGUUCCAACAUCUUCUGCGCGCCAGAAUUCUCCGCAUCCUUUACUCUUGACAUCGGUUCACCUAAAGUUAACCAAAUACCACCUUGGGUUUCUACCUGAACCGAGUAAACAAAUGUCCUAUCAUGUGCCGGCCCAUCUGUCUUCUCUAACCUGAAAAAAAAAACAAUAAAGUAACUUUGAGCAUUAAAUCAACAUGAAAGCUUCCUCAACGGCAUUAGCAGAUAGUAUUUUUAGUUUAUGGAGUAUGGCAUUACUCUUUGCAAUCUGAAGCUUGAAUUCCCAGCAAAUCGGGACUUACGAGAAACAAAACAAGUUUAAUCUGAAAUAGUUACUUUUGUUUUCCACUUUUAUACUUCUUUAAAUUUGUUAUUCAGAAAUUCCUUUUUUUGGUAACAGAGAANNNNNNNNNNNNNNNNNNNNNNNNNNNNNNNNNNNNNNNNNNNNNNNNNNNNNNNNNNNNNNNNNNNNNNNNNNNNNNNNNNNNNNNNNNNNNNNNNNNNGGUAAUCCUAAUUUGUGAAGCAAUGUUUCUUUUGUUAGCAAUGAAAUAUCCGUGUAUUGGACCGGGCCUUCGGAAGGAAAGGCUGGGAUGUACAACGGCACAACUAUGCCUUUUCAAUUGCCUCUUCCAAAAGUAAAAUGGAUGUAGACUUAUAUUCCUUUUCAAUCGCCUAGAGACCAUAAAAACCAGUCCUCGAAAAUAAUUGCUGCGAUCUACCAUUUUUGUGCAUCUAUUGGGCCUAAAAUUACAAGUGAUGCAUAAUGUCACGGUUAUUUUGUCAUGUCAGAUUUCGUAAAAGUGGUUGGAACAAAAAAGAUAAUGAAUCGCAAUUAUAUCCCUGAGCUUGAUUAGCUGUCACAAGGAAGAAAAUAGCCACUACCCAAUCGCGUAAACAAGAAUGACGAAUUGUGAUAAUGAGUUAUCACAAUUCAAAAUUUUGUGCGAAAACUAUUAAGGAAAGCAGAUAAAUGAGAUAGAAAGUUUACCACUUCAUAUUGUUGGCGAUAACUACGAUGGUGGGAAGCUGGUAUACAAGUGUCCUUGACGUGCCAGACCGGACAGGUUUACCUGAGGCUCAUUUAUGCUCUAUCAUUUGUGCAUGGUGUUUUAACCAUCUCAGUGAAAAAUCACUAUUUCUGCAAAAUUUCAGACAUUUAUUAUUAUAUUCCACAGUUUGAGAGGUUAUUAGUGCAAAUAUAUACAUGAAUUACAUUCUUAAAGACUUCUUUGCCUUCAAGUAAUACAUCAGUAAUCAGGCUUUCCAAAUAGACCUGAUCAUGAAGGAAGAAGAAUAGAAGGACAAGACAUCAAAUCAGAAAAGAAAAAAAGUUAAAUGAGCUCGGUUAUAAAAUAUCCUCAAGAAAAUUCAUUGAGGACCGCCAUAUAAAAUGCUAGGGAUCAUACCAACAAUGAAAUAAAAUCAUGAGAAAAUAAAUAUUAUGGACAGAAGAAAACAAUAUUUAUGGGGAUACCUAAGCCGUUAACAUAAUUGUAUUUGUAUACAGCGUAAGCAUGGACAGAAGGUUGUAUACAGGGUAAGCAUGGACAGAAGGGAAGUCAUCAUAAGUAAAAAUUAUGCAUGUGUGUCGAUAUAGCAAUCAUUCACUCAAAAAUUAAAUUUAUGCAUUGAGGACAUACUUUUGGAACGCCAGAUAAACCUAAAUUCCCACUAAUUUAUCAAUAGGAGUAGCCUCCACCAAGAUUUUAAAGUCAUGCAAAAGCAGAAAGCUCAAAGAUAAGCUUGGGCCACAGCAAAAGCUUAACAUCUAAAACGCAUCAGGUUAAUCAGCACACAGCAUGAGCUAAUUAGCACGUACGUAGCAGCUUCUCAACCUCUCGGAUGCUCAAAACUUUAACCCGAACCAAAUACAUGAGCUUCCAGAGCCUGCUCCCCCUCCACUAUUCUGCAAUAGGGACCAAAAACAAAUCUAUAGCAAAGUAGGGAACACAAAACUGAUUAGGAAGAUAAAAGAUGUCUUUUCAAGAGAAGCAGUAUUUCUUAUUUCCAAAAUUGACCGCCAUAUUAGGUUGCCGCCAUAAAAAAAAUAGGUGAUCAACUUUCUCCUUUGUAGUACAAAAACAACACCAUGUAUGCACAACUUGUGUAUACAGAUACCACAUAACCAAUUCACACCAAUAUAAAUUUCCAGGAAUAUCUCAUGUGGCCAUUCCGUAAAAUAGAACUAAAUAAAUACAUAAAGUAAACAGUAAACACCCCCUUUAGCUAAGCAUAGCUUAUGCCAAGAAUCAUUCAAGUUGACCAGACACACUUGACUAUGACUGAAUCCAAGACUUUAAAUUCUAAUUAUGUACUUCUAAUGAGAAGUCCAAGAAAUCUGCUUCGACAAUACCAAGCACAGACAAAUUCAUUAUAAUCUGAAAUUAUACUAAAUAAUGACAAGCACACAGAUUCGUCUCCCAUCCAGGGGUCAACAAAAUAUAUAAUCUAAGCAAUCAUGCGCUGUAAAAACAUCGAUGGUAAAACAAGGAAGGAUAAGAUCUGGCAGUACACUUGAAGUAAUUACCUGUCCAGAGGCCAUCCGAAAUUAUCAGUUGAAGAAUUUCCGAAGUAAGAAAAUGGGAGUACCAGCCUCCAAGAUCUCCCAAAUAAAUUGACCACAACCAGUAUGAACAUCACCUGCACAAAAUUUGGGAUUGAGAGGAUAUCAGGAUAAUGUAAUUGUUUGGUGUAAGAAGGAAUUGUACAUGAACGGGGAAAAAAAUAUAGGGGAACCUAGCCAAGCACCAUGCUGAUGGAUGUUGUGUUGCCGGAGUGGAAAGAUUUAGUGAAAAGUGGUAGGGGCAUAAGUACACGUACAUGUACCGAGGCAGUGGAAGGAUGGCCACAUCACCUGCCAUGAAUGCCCGUAGAGAAAUUGAAGAAUGAUUGCUUCUUCAAAUCCCAGCAGAGCAGUUGUGUUCAGCCGAACAGCCAUGGUAUCGGCCUACAUCUCCCUCUCCCUCUCCCUCUCCCUCUCCCAAUCCCUAUCCUACUUUACCAUAGGGCUUCAAAUUGUGAAAGCCGGAGUAGACAACAGACUAACGGUCAAGGACUCAAGGUUGCCCAAGUCACAAAAAAUGGAUGGCCAGAAACGCGCAAGGCAUUACAUGGUUGGAAAGCUGCUCAGUUUUACUGUCCUAAAGUGUGGCUAUGUUUCCAUAUAUCAAAAACAUAGCUCGUCACGACAUAGUUCAUUGACCACGAACCAAGGCCUAGAUUUUGCUUGUUAUUGUGUGAAUCACUGAAUCGAAAAUGACCUGAGUGGGUUGUGAUAACUCGGGUUGCCAAUUUCGCUGUUUGUUAACAGAAGAAAAUCCCGUCAUCUAACAUUUUCCUGGAGUGUUUAUAAAGCAACUGUUGAAAAACCACCAUUCAACAACCACAAACCAGAGAAUUUCUUAAACAGACAAGAUAAGCAAAUCUAUACCAAUGUAAAAAAACAUUUGUUCGGAUGAGGUUCUUUCGAUCUAAGCUCUCCAAAAAAUAUAUUUAAUUUUUAUAGCUAUCAGUCCCAUGGUUGUGGCAAAUAUUAUACCAUCUCCUAAUCAUAGUAUAUGUAUAGUUUGUUAGUUCAACUUAUUUAUUCAUAGUUACUUUCUGUUUUUAUUUUAUGUACGUGGAAAUUUAUGUCUCAUCCUUACAAUUUUCUACAUGAUAUUUAUGUAAAAGAAGCCCGUGUCGUUACUAUCGAGAUGGACAUGCUAUUUCAAGUUUAUAAACAAAUUUUCAGUUCACACUGAAUUCUACGCCGAUGUGCAUGGCUUUAAAAAGUAUGGCGAAUUAACCAUGAGUAUACAUCUGCAUCUCGACCAUCGGAGUGAAUAGAUAAAUAGGAAAGCUAACUUCUGUCCCACUGCUUUUUUUGCGACGAAAAUCUCAUGGUAGCGCUUUUUCAAACUAUAUGAUUUCAUCGGCGUGGGCAGGAUGAACCCGCAUCAGAAAAUCCCGGUGCAUCUUCUUCAUCCUCAUUCACCUCUUUGGCUCUCCCUUCAUCACUGUUUCCUUAUAUUCUCUUGAGCUCAUAUCCCACCUACAAGCUAAUAGUCACCACCACAAUGCGGGCUUCUAGGAUCUCCUUCCUAGUAGUCGCCACCAGGAUGUAGCAUCAGUAUUCAAGUGCAUGGAUCCCUAACUCCGGCAAAGGAACAUUCAUAUAAAAAUUUGAAUCAUCAUUUUUGUCAAGGGAUGUAAUAUAUUUUGUAUUCUUUUUAUUUUUGCUAGACACAACCUCAGCCUAAGGUUCACAAAGGGAUAGAAAUAGAAAUAUGUUCUUUGCAAAGGACAAUAUAGGGAUCUCACAAUUUCAAUAGAUGUUCCAACAUCUUCUGCGCGCCAGAAUUCUCCGCAUCCUUUACUCUUGACAUCGGUUCACCUAAAGUUAACCAAAUACCACCUUGGGUUUCUACCUGAACCGAGUAAACAAAUGUCCUAUCAU